rnacentral:ncRNA from 1 species
AACAUAAGUAGUUCAUAACAUUACUACUCGCCAGAGAACUACAAGCCACCGCUUAAAACUCAAAGGACUUGGCGGUGCUUUAUAUCCACCUAGAGGAGCCUGUUCCAUAACCGAUGAUCCCCGAUUUACCUCACCACUCCUUGCUAAUUCAGCCUAUAUACCGCCAUCUUCAGUUAACCCUAAAAAGGAAAUAAAGUAAGCCUAAUCAGUAUUACUAAAGAAGUUAGGUCAAGGUGUAGCCCAUGGAGUGGAGCGAAAUGGGCUACAUUUUCUAUUACUAGAACAUUACGAAACUCUACGUGAAAUCCGUAGAAUAAAGGAGGAUUUAGUAGUAAAUUAAAACUAGAGUGUUUAAUUGAAUAGAGCAAUGAAGCACGCACACACCGCCCGUCACCCUCCUCAAUUUCUCAACAAUUAAAAGUACAUAACACCUAAUUACAAAAGAUUGAGAGGAGACAAGUCGUAACAAGGUAAGUGUACUGGAAAGUGCACUUGGAAAAAUCAAAAU